AGUGAACGCUGGCGGUAGGCCUAACACAUGCAAGUCGAACGGCAGCACAGUAAGAGCUUGCUCUUACGGGUGGCGAGUGGCGGACGGGUGAGGAAUACAUCGGAAUCUACUUUUUCGUGGGGGAUAACGUAGGGAAACUUACGCUAAUACCGCAUACGACCUACGGGUGUAAGUAGGGGAUCUUCGGACCUUGCGCGAUUGAAUGAGCCGAUGUCGGAUUAGCUAGUUGGCGGGGUAAAGGCCCACCAAGGCGACGAUCCGUAGCUGGUCUGAGAAGAUGAUCAGCCACACUGGAACUGAGACACGGUCCAGACUCCUACGGGAGGCAGCAGUGGGGAAUAUUGGACAAUGGGCGCAAGCCUGAUCCAGCCAUACCGCGUGGGUGAAGAAGGCCUUCGGGUUGUAAAGCCCUUUUGUUGGGAAAGAAAAGCAGCAGGUUAAUACCCCGCUGUUCUGACGGUACCCAAAGAAUAAGCACCGGCUAACUUCGUG
rnacentral:rRNA from 1 species